CUCCAUUAGUGGCAACAACUGCGGCAACGCCUGAUUCACCGCCAUUGUCAUCGCCACAGUCGGUAAAACUUUGUCAACCUCGUCAAAUUUCACUGUCACGCCCAAACUUGUAAAAAAUAAUAACAAAUUCAUUAUAAUAAAUUGAAAUGAAAAUCCGAAUACAAAUUUAACUGCAUACGUGGCUGUUUGCGUUGGUGUGAUUAGUGCAAACAGUUUCAACGAGUUCGCUCUUUGUUAUAAGAAGUCAAUUUAAAUUGCAUUUGACAGUUGCGGGCGUCUUUGACAAUUGCUUGUUGGGGCUUAAAAGGUCUCAAGAGAAAAGGAAAAAAAUUGUGAACAAAUUAAAUUAAUUUUGGAAACAUAAUCAUUAUGAAAACAUAAACACAAGAUGCACCUUACAGUUGAACGAUGUUAGUAGGUUUUGUAGCAGUUAGUUUCUGUGUGAGAACUAUCUUUUAUCGUCUUCAACUAAUCCAACAUUAAAAGUGGUGAAUCGAACAAACAUCCAAAAUAAGUCCAAUAGAGUGGCAGAAUUAAAUCGGUAUGAAAAUGCAAGCAAUUCUACUGAUUUAUUCUAAUAACUACCAUUACAAAAAUUUUGUUUGGCUUUUAUAUGGACACUUAUUGAAAUCGAAGAUGCCCUAAAACAGCUGAGGUGAAAAUUUUGAUAAUUAUAUAUGUCAAUAGAUACGCCUUGAUUGACAUGCUCAUCAGCAAUAAUUUAUUUCGGUAUUUUUUGAUCAAAAGUCUUACUUUGAAGGUGGAAUUAUGGAUCUGAAGCAAAGUGAAAAUUUUAAAUUAAAUUCAAAAUUUAGAAUGCAUUAUGACGAUAAAAGCGAAUUAAGAAGUACUUCUUAAUCAUAUAAGAACUAUUAAUAACGUUUAAUAAAAAGUUUCCGUUAGAGACUAAGAUUUCAUUUUAGAA